rnacentral:rRNA from 1 species
GAUGAACGCUGGCGGCGUGCCUAAUACAUGCAAGUCGAGCGAACAGACGAGAGUGCUUGCACUCUCUGACGUUAGCGGCGGACGGGUGAGUAACACGUGGGUAACCUACCUAUAAGACUGGGAUAACUUCGGGAAACCGGAGCUAAUACCGGAUAAUAUUUAGCUUCGCAUGAAGCAAUAGUGAAAGACGGUUCUGCUGUCACUUAUAGAUGGACCCGCGGUGUAUUAGCUAGUUGGUUAGGUAACGGCUCACCAAGGCAACGAUACAUAGCCGACCUGAGAGGCUGAUCGGCCACACUGGGACUGAGACACGGCCCAGACUCCUACGGGAGGCAGCAGUAGGGAAUCUUCCGCAAUGGACGAAAGUCUGACGGAGCAAUGCCGCGUGAGUGAAGAAGGUUUUCGGAUCGUAAAACUCUGUUGUAAGGGAAGAACAAGUACGUUAGUAACUGAACGUACCUUGACGGUACCUUACCAGAAAGCCACGGCUAACUACGUG